GUCUAUGGCCAUACAACCUUGAAUUGGCCAGUUCUUAUCUAAUCUCAGAAGCUAUACAGGGUCAGCCCUGGUAAGUACUUGAAUGGGAAAAGCCCCAAGUCCUUUAAAAUCUCUUGGAAUCCAUUAACA
rnacentral:rRNA from 1 species